AACGAACGCUGGCGGCAUGCCUAGCACAUGCAAGUCGAACGAAGCCUUCGGGCUUAGUGGCGCACGGGUGCGUAACGCGUGGGAAUCUGCCCCUUGCUUCGGAAUAACAGUUAGAAAUGACUGCUAAUACCGGAUGAAGUCUUCGGACCAAAGAUUUAUCGGCAAGGGAUGAGCCCGCGUAGGAUUAGGUAGUUGGUGGGGUAAAGGCCUACCAAGCCGACGAUCCUUAGCUGGUCUGAGAGGAUGAUCAGCCACACUGGGACUGAGACACGGCCCAGACUCCUACGGGAGGCAGCAGUGGGGAAUAUUGGACAAUGGACGCAAGUCUGAUCCAGCAAUGCCGCGUGAGUGAUGAAGGCCUUAGGGUUGUAAAGCUCUUUUACCAGGGAUGAUAAUGACAGUACCUGGAGAAUAAGCUCCGGCUAACUCCGUG
rnacentral:rRNA from 1 species